AACGAACGCUGGCGGCAUGCCUAACACACGCAAGUCGAACGAGACCUUCGGGUCUAGUGGCGCACGGGUGCGUAACGCGUGGGAACCUGCCCUUAGGUUCGGAAUAACUCCCCGAAAGGGGUGCUAAUACCGGAUAAUUUCUUCGGACCAAAGAUUUAUCGCCUUUGGAUGGGCCCGCGUUGGAUUAGCUAGUUGGUAGGGUAAAAGCAUACCAAGGCGACGAUCCAUAGCUGGUCUGAGAGGAUGAUCAGCCACACUGGGACUGAGACACGGCCCAGACUCCUACGGGAGGCAGCAGUGGGGAAUAUUGGACAAGGGGCGAAAGCCUGAUCCAGCAAUGCCGCGUGAGUGAUGAAGGCCUUAGGGUUGUAAAGCUCUUUUACCCGGGAUGAUAAUGACAGUACCGGGAGAAUAAGCUCCGGCUAACUCCGUG
rnacentral:rRNA from 1 species